CUCUCUAGGGUUUGCUUUUAAUCUUUCUCCUUCCAUUUUUUUCGUCGCCGUUACUUUUUUCUCGUCGCCAUUCAUUCGUUUCUGCUUCGACCUCGCGUGCUUCGCGUGAAUUAAUGCGUUGGAAGAGUAGCUAAAGAAGCUUUUUCGCCUCCUCCUCCGACGUCGGAUCGAAAGUCACGCCGGUGGCUCGCUCGCUGCGAAGGUGUUAUAAUCAUCAUCAUCAUCAUUUUUUGGCUGAUGCCAUAUAUUUGGGGUUCAGUUCUGGAUCUUAGAUCACCAUCCAUUCUUAUUUGGUGAUGACAGCUUGACCUUCAAAGUCUGAUUUGUUUGAUAAUGAACUUGCACUUGAUCAGUAUGCCCGUCCAGGAGUGUACCUAGCUCUAAAGAAGUCCCAUUGCAUUUGCUUAAUAAGGCCAUAUAUUUUAAUAUUUAUUUUUCUAGGCUUCGUAGGGGUGUGAACCAUUGUUGCGUUCACCUAGAUGCUUCGAAGCUCUUUUAUGCGCCUCCAAGGCCUUCAGUAGCUCUGCUGUGGUCCUUCAUAUUUUUGUUGGCCUCUUUGUAUUAUAAACUUGUUGUAAUGAUGUUGACAAUAGUCUUUAAUAUGUAAUUGUUCAUUAUCUUUUUUUUUUUGUAUGUGAAUAUUUUUUUUAUUUAAAGUGAUUUCAAGGAUCAAUUUGUAUUGAGGUAACGAUAAUUGCAAACAUGUGAUUUCCUCGUUCUUGCGUAUAUGACAUUUUAAAGGUUAUCAAA